rnacentral:ncRNA from 25 species
AGGCUAAUAUAGGUAAUCCAAGCGUAACUCUUGGGCUGUGCCGCAACUGUUAAAGUCAGAAAACUAUAUUUGCCUAGGUUCCCCGAGCAGGGUCUGUUGUAUAAUCCUUCU